rnacentral:misc_RNA from 1 species
UUUGAGGAGUUGCGGGGAUCGUCGCCGGCGAAUGUCUGAGCAGACGGAUGCCUCUUCAGGUUUGAAGAUGGCUUUGAAGAGAGAGAAAACGAGAGCUUCAUCGUCGCUGGAAUCGGUGACAGCGACGGGAACAACGUCGGCGAAUUUGCCGGUAUCUGGGUAGAAGCCGAGAAAAGGACUUCCGUACCGGGAAACGAGAAUAGAAGAAUGAUCAAUGCGAGUAUACUUG